GUGUCAGCCGCCGCGGUAAUACGUAGGGGGCGAGCGUUGUCCGGAUUUAUUGGGCGUAAAGAGCUCGUAGGCGGCUUGGCAAGUCGGGUGUGAAAACUCCAGGCUCAACCUGGAGACGCCACUCGAGACUGCUAUGGCUAGAGUCCGGUAGGGGACCACGGAAUUCCUGGUGUAGCAGUGAAAUGCGUAGAUAUCAGGAGGAACACCAGUGGCGAAGGCGCCUUCCUGGCCUGUAACUGACGCUGAUGUGCGAAAGCGUGGGGAGCAAACCGGAUUAGAUACCCCGGUAGUCC
rnacentral:rRNA from 1 species